rnacentral:miRNA from 1 species
AGAGUUGACAUGUGUCC